rnacentral:rRNA from 1 species
AGUGAACGCUGGCGGUAGGCCUAACACAUGCAAGUCGAACGGCAGCACAGGAGAGCUUGCUCUCUGGGUGGCGAGUGGCGGACGGGUGAGGAAUACAUCGGAAUCUACUUUUUCGUGGGGGAUAACGUAGGGAAACUUACGCUAAUACCGCAUACGACCUACGGGUGAAAGCAGGGGAUCUUCGGACCUUGCGCGAUUGAAUGAGCCGAUGUCGGAUUAGCUAGUUGGCGGGGUAAAGGCCCACCAAGGCGACGAACCGUAGCUGGUGUGAGAGGAUGAUCAGACAGACGGGAAGUGAGACACUGACCAGACUCCGACGGGAGGCAGCAGUGGGGAAUAUUGGACAAUGGGCGCAAGCGUGAUCCAGCCAUACCGCGUGGGUGAAGAAGGCCUUCGGGUUGUAAAGCCCUUUUGUUGGGAAAGAAAUCCAGCUGGUUAAUACCCGAUUGGGAUGACGGUACCCAAAGAAUAAGCACCGGCUAACUUCGUGCCAGCCGCCGCAGUAA